UACGAAGGGGGCUAGCGUUGUUCGGAAUCACUGGGCGUAAAGCGCGCGUAGGCCGAUUGGUCAGUUGGGGGUGAAAUCCCGGGGCUUAACCUCGGAACUGCCUUCAAUACUGCCAGUCUCGAGUCCGGAAGAGGUGAGUGGAAUUCCUAGUGUAGAGGUGAAAUUCGUCGAUAUUAGGAAGAACACCAGUGGCGAAGGCGGCUCACUGGUCCGGUACUGACGCUGAGGUGCGAAAGCGUGGGGAGCAAACAGG
rnacentral:rRNA from 1 species